AAGUGCCUGAAGUGUUGAUGACCUGUCAAUUUGAACCUACAGUUUGAUGAAAGGGAUUCCUAUAUCUCUAAAGGGAUGUCAAGCCUCGAUUCAGUGGAAGGCAGUAACUUUAGAUGCGGUUGCCCACCUGGCGUAUGCUAGGACUCAAAACGCAGGACGACACCUCGGGUGUACA
rnacentral:other from 1 species